GGGCCGCAUGGCCCCACACACAGGCGGGGCAACCCGCCGGAAGCUUACGGAAGACAGAAA
rnacentral:ncRNA from 1 species